rnacentral:rRNA from 1 species
GACGAACGCUGGCGGCGUGCCUAAUACAUGCAAGUCGAGCGAAGUUAGAGAAGCUUGCUUCUCUAACUUAGCGGCGGACGGGUGAGUAACACGUGGGCAAUCUGCCCGUAAGACUGGGAUAACUCCGGGAAACCGGGGCUAAUACCGGAUAAUCCUGACUCUCUCCUGAGAGUCAGUUGAAAGAUGGUUUCGGCUAUCACUUACGGAUGAGCCCGCGGCGCAUUAGCUAGUUGGUAGGGUAAUGGCCUACCAAGGCGACGAUGCGUAGCCGACCUGAGAGGGUGAUCGGCCACACUGGGACUGAGACACGGCCCAGACUCCUACGGGAGGCAGCAGUAGGGAAUCUUCCGCAAUGGACGAAAGUCUGACGGAGCAACGCCGCGUGAGUGAAGAAGGUUUUCGGAUCGUAAAACUCUGUUGUUAGGGAAGAACACGUACGAGAGUAACUGCUCGUACCUUGACGGUACCUAACCAGAAAGCCACGGCUAACUACGUG